rnacentral:rRNA from 1 species
UACGUAGGUGGCGAGCGUUGUCCGGAAUUACUGGGUGUAAAGCGCGUGUAGGCGGGAGGCCAAGUCUGCGGUGAAAUCGCUCGGCUCAACUGGGCGGGGUCCGUGGAAACUGGUCACCUGGAGGACGGUAGAGGCGAGUAGAAUUCCUGGUGUAGCGGUGGAAUGCGCAGAUAUCAGGAGGAAUACCCAUAGCGAAGGCAGCUCGCUGGGACGUUACUGACGCUGAGGCGCGAAAGCGUGGGGAGCGAACAGG